GGGUUUUAUUUUCUUUAAUUGCUUUUAAUGCAGACUCCAGGAAGAGAGUUCUUACUCCGAGUUUCCUAUCUAGAAAUAUAUAACGAGGUAAAAAUGGAACAAACUGNAUUCACACAUCCCAUCUUCUGUGCUCUGAACAUGUUUAAAACAUAGUUCAUCAUUAAAUGCAUCACUUUAGGCCUUACCUCAAUUAUAUUUUUCUAUGAUCUGCAUUUUGAGAUACUGAUUAUCACGUUACAUGUUAUACUGUGUGAUAUAUUUCUUCUUUUUCUUUUUUGUUUUAAUAGACGUUUUCCUGUUUCUACUUCUGUCAGGUGAUAAACGAUUUGCUCGACCCUACUGGCCAAAAUUUACGUGUUAGAGAAGAUGCACAGGGAACUUAUNUGGAGGGUAUAAAGGAAGAAGUUGUUUUGUCACCUGGACAUGCCCUUUCCUUUAUUGCUGCUGGGGAAGAGCAUCGUCAUGUUGGAUCAAAUAAUUUUAAUCUUUUCAGCAGCCGAAGUCACACAAUUUUUACACUUGUAAGCAUUCUUGAAAUUACAGUAUCGAAAUUUUGUGUUGUAGCAACACGUGUACACGGAGUCUUAUUUCCAAAGGAAAUAUAUCUACAUCACAGCAUGAGGCCUCAUGAUUUUUAAUGGCUAAGGGACUCAAAUUAUGCUUACACACUGCAUUUAUCACGUGCUGGUUAAAUGUUUAAUUUUUCCUCAGCUAAUGUAUUUGGAUUCCUGGACGGUAAGCUAUUUUUUGUUUCAAUUCUAAUCUGCAUUGUUAUUGCUAUUUUUAAAUACUGUCUUCUUGCUUGCAUGCAUUAGGGAUAAUUAAUUUUGAUUUUUCUUUUCCUUUCUUUUUAUCUAUGGGGAAAAUUAUGAGACUNGUAGUUUACUGGCAAAGGCUAUGGAUGAAGGGCGAUUUUUUGAGAAGUUGAAAGGCCCCAAAAAUACAAAUUUAAAAAUUGAAGUAAAAAGAUUAUAUUUUCUGUUGACUACCAAAGAAUGUGUGUCAGACAUUCCUAAAGAUACCUAGUGUAAAGUCAGUUUGGGAGUUGGUUUCUUUUAGGUAAAUGACAAGAAUAUUGGGAGNAGGAAAAUAUAAGAGAAGAGAUGCCAGCUGUCGGGAGUUAUUCAACAUUUUUCACCCCUACGAUCCAGUAGCAUACAGGUUUGAUAAGAUUUCAGUCCCAAUGAAGUAUCCAUAAUAUAGUGAUUAAAUGAGUUCCUUAGUCACUAGUGAACCUUGUAAAUUUAAUUUUUUACCAUCAUUUUAUUUGUACAAUAUUCCUUUGAUUGUUUCGGUGCCCAGAUUCUUUUUGUUUAAUAAAUUCAUACGGUGUAUG